rnacentral:rRNA from 1 species
GACGAACGCUGGCGGCGUGCCUAACACAUGCAAGUCGAGCGAUGAAGUUUCCUUCGGGAAACGGAUUAGCGGCGGACGGGUGAGUAACACGUGGGUAACCUGCCUCAUAGAGGGGAAUAGCCUCCCGAAAGGGAGAUUAAUACCGCAUAACAUUACAGUUUCGCAUGAAACAGCAAUUAAAGGAGCAAUCCGCUAUGAGAUGGACCCGCGGCGCAUUAGCUAGUUGGUAAGGUAAUGGCUUACCAAGGCGACGAUGCGUAGCCGACCUGAGAGGGUGAUCGGCCACAUUGGGACUGAGACACGGCCCAG